rnacentral:sRNA from 1 species
AGAAUGCUACGGAAGUCCUUGACAAAAAGGAAACACUGAGACAGAUGGGCUGAGAAGAGCUGUCGAGUCCCUGAUUGGGAAAGGAAAAAUUAAAAACUCUAGAUCUCUGGUACACAUAAGUCUGGGUUUGCGAUUGCUAUUUGUGCUGGGGCAGUGUGAUUGAGACUGACAUCGAGGAAAGAAGCAGCUAUGAAGACCAGGGGGUUCAGCUUUCCAAGACAAAGGUGCACUGGACAGAGAGAGCAAAGCUGAGUACAACAUCACCAUCACCGUCACUGACUUGGGGACACCCAGGCUGAAAACCGAGCACAGCAUAACCCUGCAGGUCUCCGACGUCAAUGACAACGCCCCCGCCUUCACCCAAACCUCCUACACCCUGUUCGUCCGCGAGAACAACAGCCCCGCCCUGCACGUCGGCAGUGUCAGCCCUACAGACGGAGACUCAGGCACCAACGCCCAGGUCACCUACUCGCUGCUGCCGCCCCAGGACCCGCA